rnacentral:rRNA from 1 species
GUAACGGCGAGUGAAGCGGCAACAGCUCAAAUUUGAAAUCUGGCACCCGCCCGAGUUGUAAUUUGUAGAGGAUGCUUCUAGGCAGCGGCCGGUCUAAGUUCCUUGGAACAGGACGUCAUAGAGGGUGAGAAUCCCGUAUGUGACCGGCUGGCACCUUACACGUAGCUCCUUCGACGAGUCGAGUUGUUUGGGAAUGCAGCUCUAAAUGGGAGGUAAAUUUCUUCUAAAGCUAAAUAUCGGCCAGAGACCGAUAGCGCACAAGUAGAGUGAUCGAAAGAUGAAAAGUACUUUGGAAAGAGAGUUAAAAAGCACGUGAAAUUGUUGAAAGGGAAGCGCUUGCAACCAGACUUUAUAGCGGUGUUCCACCGGUCUUCUGACCGGUCUACUCGCCGUCGUAAGGCCAACGUCGUCUGGGACCGCCGGAUAAAGGCGUCGGGAAUGUGACUCCCUCGGGAGUGUUAUAGCCCUUCGCACAAUACGGCGUGACCCGGGCGAGGUCCGCGCUUCGGCAAGGACGUUGGCGUAAUGGUCGUAAGCGGCCCGUCUUGAAACACGGACCAAGGAGUCGAUCAAUUGUGCGAGUGUUCGGGUGGAAAACCCUUGCGCGUAAUGAAAGUGAACGGAGGCGAGAACUUCGGUGCAUCGUCGACCGAUCCUGAUGUUUACGGAUGGAUUUGAGUAAGAGCAUAGCUGAUCGGACCCGAAAGAUGGUGAACUAUGCCUAAAUAGAAUGAAGCCAGAGGAAACUCUGGUGGAAGUUCGCAGCGGUUCUGACGUGCAAAUCGAUCGUCAAAUUUGGG